rnacentral:rRNA from 1 species
AGCGAACGCUGGCGGCAGGCCUAACACAUGCAAGUCGAACGAAGUCUUCGGACUUAGUGGCGGACGGGUGAGUAACACGUGGGAACGUGCCUUUAGGUUCGGAAUAACUCAGGGAAACUUGUGCUAAUACCGAAUGUGCCCUUCGGGGGAAAGAUUUAUCGCCUUUAGAGCGGCCCGCGUCUGAUUAGCUAGUUGGUGAGGUAAAGGCUCACCAAGGCGACGAUCAGUAGCUGGUCUGGGAGGAUGAUCAGCCACAUUGGGACUGAGACACGGCCCAAACUCCUACGGGAGGCAGCAGUGGGGAAUCUUGCGCAAUGGGCGAAAGCCUGACGCAGCUAUGCCGCGUGAAUGAUGAAGGUCUUAGGAUUGUAAAAUUCUUUCACCGGGGACGAUAAUGACGGUACCCUGAGAAGAAGCCCCGGCUAACUUCGUGCCAGCCGCCGCGGUAACAC